AUGCUUGCUAAGGCAGCAUAUAUACUAAAAUUGGAGCGAUACAGAGAGAUUAGCAUGGUCCCUGUGGAAGGAUGACACACAAAUCGUGAAGCUUUCCAUAUUUUU